UUGUACUUUUUCUCUUAUUUAAAAAAAUCCUAAAGUUAGUAAACACAGUACCUGACCAAUUGACAAAUUUAAAUUCUUUUUUGAUCGAUUUUAUUUUAAAAUACUGUGAGAUUAAAAAAUAAGACGUAGACUUUCGCUAUGUUAUACGAAUCAGUUAAACCACGUUCGAUGUAACACGCAGUCACGCCACAUUUUUAUAAAUUUUAAUAGAACAAGAUCCUUAAAAAUAAUAAUCUUUGAAAUUUCCGGAAAAAAUUGCAUUAAAAAUACUUUUGUUCACUCGGAAUUUAAAAAGCUGUAAGGAGUUAGAUUUUUAUGAUGAAAAAUCAGUCACCUUCCGUUCGAAAUUCACAGUAGGGAAAGAGUGAAAUGAAAUGAUUCCGGAUGGAAUAUUUAUCGGGCGAAACUAUUAGAAAUUUAAUUUUUAAGUUAAUAGGUAACCUAAAGACCUUUAAUUAAUCGUUUUUCUUCUUUUUUCAGUUUAAAAAUUUAAAAUGAGCGGAGGGAACAAAUCAAGGGAUGACUUUUGCUUCAAAUUACGAUAGAGCUUAGUGAGAAGAUAUUGCUUGAAAGGGUGGUGAAUUUAGUUGAGGUGAACGAAUCUUGAAUUAAUCCCAGUUGGCAGCAACGACAAGAGCUUAUGGAAAAAGCUCUUGUCAAAGAAGAUCUCAAAAUAAUUAAAUUCAGGAAGGAUGUGAUUUUUGCUGAUGAAUUUAAAUAGAGUUCUAAGUUUCUGUUAUUUAAUUUUUAUACUGUGCAAGUUUUAAAUAAAAAAUGUUUUAAAUGUGCUUUUAUGCAUAUAA